CGUAGUCCUUCUCUUCUGAGAACUAAGUAUGUCCACUACAUGAUGUUAUGAUGUGGAAUACCAAUAACCGAAAAUCACAAAACCAUGACAAAUAGCGAACACAAAAAGUAAAGUAACUGAUAUUACCUGGGUAGUAAUGUGCAUCCUCUCCAAGCAGAAGGUGUACAUCCAAGAUCUGUUACCACUGCUAAGCAUAUGGAUAAGGGUCACUAAUGGCUUUUCCAUUCUUUCAAUAGCCCACAUCACCCAAACAUAAAGUUGUGUCAAUGACUGAACUCCUUUUCGCAUUUGCCCAAGCCAGCUGCAUCCCACAGCAGCCCAGUCAUCUCUCUCUGCUCUGUCAAUGUAUAUUCGUACCUGCUGUGAUGACAUCAGUAUUUGGUACUAGGGAGUCAUCCACUUUAUGCUUGAAUGCACUACCUUCCUGCUCCUUCCACCCUGGGGCUUUUAGCCUGACAGGGCAACUGUUCAUUCAGCUGCUCGAGAGAGCAGCAUCCUUUAUACCUCCGCGUUGCCGUCUGGCACUGUGGGGUGCAUGCCCCCUGGGAUGCCAAAUCUUGUCCCACUGGUUGCUUAGCAGCACAGUGAUUCACACUAUCAACAAAUAUGGGAGGGUAUUCUCCUAUUAAACUCACAGUUGUUGUGGUAUUUCUUAAUAUUGACUUGCUUUACAUUUCUUUAUAGGGGAAUGAACUUGUUCCAAUAUGUCUGCAAAAGACAGUGUAAGGCAACUCAUUUAUAAGAAAUACUGUUUGCUACUCUUGGAUCAAAUUCUUCGCAGUGAUGAGCUGGAUUCUGGACAUACACUGCAGCCAGGGGUAAUGCCUUCCUCCCAUGAACAAGCACCUAUGAAGGUGUCUGUGUAUGGCAUCUCUUGAUGGUGAGUCUUGAGGGUUCAGCCUGCCAUGGUCAGACCCCACUCCAUUGGACACGACUGCAGGAAAUCUGGGGUCCAGAAAUCAAUGAAUAAAUUGCCAUCAUCCAGUGAAUAAAGCAGUCAUCCAGUCAUCUGACAAGGAAGAUUUACUUAAAUCAACCAGCUCUGAGUCCAGCAGGGCUACUCACAUGACAACAGAAGAGUGAACAGGGAGAGGCAUUCCCUAAGGCACAGUCAAAAGGGCACAGAGGCAAGGCUGUGGAAUAUGAGGUUUGAUCAGUGUCUGAAAGAUCCCACUGACUAAAGUGUCAAAUGAAGAUUGGCAGUCUGGAGAUUGCAAGUGUUUUUAUUCCCCAGGAUGUAAUCCAGAGAGAGGAGAAUUACUUGGGUUUCCAAAAUACUCUCCUCAUUUCACCUCCAGCAGCGGUAGCUAUGGAAGGAGUUGUGUGACCAUCCUGUUCUCAGUGGACUCUCUUUUUCUCCCUGGACCUUGAUUCAAGCAAGAAGAAGUAUAUAGAAUGAAAGUGCCCUGAAAUGUUUAUGAAGCAGAGAUGACAUAGGAAGUACAGACUGAAGGAUGGGCCAGGAGAAAGCAGACAGUCCAAAUGAGAAAAGAGAAAAAGAAAGGAUAAACUGAAUGCUGAAGAUUAUUGCAGGUGAGAUUCUGUUGAAAGUUUAAAGAAAAAUGAAAACAGCAAGGACACUGAAGGAUUCCAGUUUUCAUUAUCGCACCUGGAGUAAUGCACAUUUCAGUUGCCUGUAAUGCAUAGCAUAUAAAUGAGGUAUACAUCCAUUGUGCCAAAAGUAAUGCCUCCUAUUUAUUUCCAUAAAAUUGACAACAGGUGCAAAGAGCACAAUAACACUUUGAUAGAGCUAGUUCUCAGCUACGAAACACUAAUUUUCAACACAGUCACCACCACUAGCUAUGUAUUUUCAUCAGUGAAGAACAAGAGCCUGCAUGCUACGCUCGUGGAUGGAAUGUAAUGGAAUAUUGAUGGGAAGGUUCAACCCCUACUGCCAUACCACCAACAUCUGCCUCUGAUGUUGUGGAUCAACAUAAUAAAAUAGGAGGCAUUACUUUCGGAGCAGCUCUUAUAUUUGCAAUAGAGCAGAAUGUAAGAAAAGUAAGAAAACUCUACUAACAGAGGCAAUGUGGGGCUGUCUUAUCUGUACAGCAUACUCACAGCAGUGUUCCUAAAAGAAAAAAAUUGUACAAUUAGAAAUGAACUUUGGUAAGCUGAAAAAAUGGACUCCCAGGAAGUCCUGCUGGAAAUCUGGGUAGUUUUAAAGUCUAUAUAACACUCAGGAAUUUUUGUACAGGACUUUUCUGUGGAUUUUCUGGAGUGUAACACCCUAGGUCCCUGGAAGAUACUGCACUGGCAGAUCCAGGGGGCUAAAUCAGAUUCAGCAGCAAGUAAAUUCCUGGUUCCAUCAAAAUCAGAGAAAGCUCACUUCAGACUUAUUCUUGAAGUGGGUCUACUCAAAGGCCUACGGUUAAGGUUCUGUGAGGUCCUGUGCAGAGUGAUAGGAGUAAUUUUGAAACCAGCAAAAUCAAGAAUGAAAAAGAAAAAAAGGAGGAAUAAUCUGACAAGUGAUCCUAUGUAAGUACAAUGCAGUAAAAAGUAAUUCAGUGAAUUGGAAUAGAACAGGACUUGUUUGAUGAGUUUAUGUGGAUAUCAUAGAAAAUAUGAACAAUGGUGCAUGCUUUUUUGUAGUUCUCAUUGUGUCUGAAUAUGCACAGACUCCACUAGGCUAUUUCCUGGAUUACUCAUAGCGAAAAGGGAGCCUGUAAGUAUAGUUAAGCAGCUGCAGAAAAUCAUGCCAAUAUGUUUCCUAAGAGCAUCUGCUGUUUGGCAUCAUGACCCUGUAGACAGGAGGAGAGCUUCUGGGUCAGGUAUCUGCAAGAUGAAGGGUACUUGUUUCUGAAAUGUUGAUUCUUUAA